rnacentral:rRNA from 1 species
CCUACGGGGGGCUGCAGUGGGGAAUAUUGCGCAAUGGGCGCAAGCCUGACGCAGCAACGCCGCGUGAAGGAAGAAGGCUUUCGGGUUGUAAACUUCUUUUGUCAGGGACGAAGCAAGUGACGGUACCUGACGAAUACGCCACGGCUAACUACGUGCCAGCCGCCGCGGUACUACGUAGGUGGCAAGCGUUAUCCGGAUUUACUGGGUGUAAAGGGCGAGUAGGCGGGGAAGCAAGUCAGAUGUGAAAACCACGGGCUCAACCUGUGGCCUGCAUUGGAAACUGUUUUGCUGGAGUGCUGGAGAGGCAAGCGGAAUUCCGUGUGUAGCGGUGAAAUGCGUAGAUAUACGGAGGAACACCAGUGGCGAAGGCGGAUUGCUGGACAGUAACUGACGCUGAGGCGCGAAAGCGUGGGGAGCAAACAGGAUUAGAUACCCGAGUAGUC